CCUACGGGAGGCAGCAGUGGGGAAUAUUGGGCAAUGGGCGAAAGCCUGACCCAGCAACGCCGCGUGAGUGAUGAAGGCCUUCGGGUUGUAAAACUCUUUGGACAGGGACGAAGAAAGUGACGGUACCUGUAGAACAAACCACGGCUAACUACGAGCCAGCAGCCGCGGUAAU
rnacentral:rRNA from 1 species